GUGACUGGUCAGUUGCCAGGUCCCAAUUCAUUACUGAGCUUCAACUCAAAUGUCAUGAGUGACCAAGAAGGGCACAGAAGCACCCUUGGUUUUCAUGCAUACUAGAGGAGCUAUGUUGCUAAGCAACCAGCUCUCAAAUCCUGGGCUCCAUCAGAACACCAAAGAGGGAAAUACUGGUGACUUACAGAAACAUGGAUUUGCACGCAGGAGGGAGUCCAGCCUCUUUUGGGAAGUCUCUCCAUUGAGGAUGCAUCCUGCCAACAGUUUAGGACCAAAAGUUAAUGGAGCUUGCUGGAACUUAUGGGUUACCUGGAUGGGUCAGAAGAUGAGGGGGGAGAGUGGAGAAGCAGAAUGGGCAGCAAGAAGCAAGGUGUAUGUAGUGUAUCCGAACUACAAGAAAAGGACAAGACAAAGGAAGUGUGAAGAUUCUGGAGCCCAUUUCUGGGACAAGAGGGUAAGACAGGCAGCUCCCCUGCAGAAGGCCAUGUCUAGAUCUUAAAUAUUUAACUUUGUGCUCACAGCUCUAUAGAGACCAGCAGGUUUUUGCACAUUACCAAGCAUAUUAGCUUUGGAUUUUGAGAAGUGAACACAUAAGGACUGAGAAAAAU
rnacentral:lncRNA from 1 species